ensembl:lncRNA
CAAUCACAGCGACAGAAACCACUAAAUAGUUAAUUUUGUUGUCGUUGUUGUUCUAAAUUUAAUUGUUUUUGUUUUUAUUGUUGUUAUUAUUAUUAUUAUUAUUAUUAUUUUAUUUCAUAGUUUUAUCAAUUAAAUAUCAAUAAACCAAAAAGUAAUGCACGAUUUAUAUUGUGACACUUAAUUUAACCCUUCUGGACUUGAAGAGCUAGCAUUACGAGUAACAAAUUUAUUGAUUUUCUUAUUAUUUGACAGUGGCCAUCUCUAUAUGUCAGCACAUAACUGCCUGCUGUUAUGCAUUGACAGUUAAAUUACUCCAAAACAGAUUUACAGUAAUGAUUUGUUAAUAUCUUUCCAAUAAAUGAAGGCGUGUGUAUCUGUUCUGUGAGUGUCUGAUUAAUGAAGUAAAGGAAAAAGAAAGAAAAGUCACUCUGUCUCAAAUCUUCAAUUCUUAUUAGCAUGUUUAAAAAUCACAAAAGCUAAUCACUUUCGCAGUCCUUAUUUUUGACACCACUACAUUUAUGCUUGACUUUGUAUGUAAAGGUGAUGUAAGGGUUUUUUAUUAUUAUUAUUAUUAUUAAAUACCACAGCUUAAAUGACAGAUAUUGCAGAAAGUGAACGGGAACUACCUGCACUAUUUUUGCAUCUCAAUCAUUGUUUGUGCGCGUUCAGAUUUUCUGAUGUCGGGGCUGAUAUGUCUUUAGAGGGCUUAGAGAGAGGUCAUGUGGUGGUGGGGGUCUUAUUCAGUGACUAAAUGUGGCAGAAGACACUUAAAAGCACUUACAGCACCUUUAUUUCAGUCACACUUUUAUACUUUAGUAUACUUUAUAUACAUUUUACUUUACCAAAGUAAAGUAAACUAACAAAGUGUUUAAAAUGAAACCCUACACUCUAAAAAAAGAUGGUUCUUUAAAGGUUCUUUACAUGUAGAACCAGUUCUAUUUAGAACCAUAGCAUCCUGAAGAACCCUUUUAAUGCUGAAAUUGUUCUUUCUGUCAGAGUUUAGGGUUCUUUAUUUCUGCCCUUUUGUUUUUCAAAUCUGUAAAGGUCAAAGCACUUCAUUAGGCCUACUUUGUUUCUGGAGUUCAGUGAUUCAACUACAGACUGUCAACACACUCGCAGCAGAUGCUACUCUCUAAAAAAAAGAUGACUCAUUAGGCCUACUGAUUUUCUGGAGUUCAGCUAUCCAACUACACAGACUGUCAACACACUCUCACCAGGUAAAUGAUUUCUUUCUUAAAAUGUCUAUAAUUUUUAACUUUAAAAUUGUAACUGGUUUCUUACAAAUCAUGUAUUUUUCUCUUUUCAGUUUAAGAGAACAUGUAAGUGUGAUCAGUCCUGUUCAGUUAAGGAUACUCCUCUCCUCUUCACCAAUGAGUAA